AUCAGGCAGCCCUGCUCCAGGAGAAACCAUCAGGUGUUGCCUGUCCCUCAGAGACAACAGCUUACCCUUCUCAAGGCCUUUUCCGCUUUGCUUUCAACAGAAGGCAAGGGACAGCUAGCAGGAAUGACCCAUCAUCGUCCCGCCUGAGACCUCAUGGUGCCUUCUCCCCGUCUAGGCAAGCUCUCCUGUUUGCAUGCUGAACAUAACUGCCCUUGGGGGACGUCGUUUGAUUUUGAAUACGUCUGUGAGAUGCACGGGCGGAGGCUGCAGCCUCUCUGGGCUUUGUUUCUGCUCACACUGUAUCUAAUUUAAGUUCUUCUGUGCAAGAGAAACCGGAUAUGUUUGAGUGCUGUGAGCCAUGUGAGCCCAAAAUAAGUUGCCACUGUUUACCUCCUAGGAAAUGAGUUCGGGCAGGCUCGCUUACUUUAGUCACCUAGCUUGACAAAUGCCAACUCGAGUCUUAAAUAGAGAUUCAGAAUCGCUUCUCCUCUCUCUCCAUGGAGAAGCUGUGUAUCUUCCUGAAGGCAUUCAAGUAUUUGGCUUUAGUCUCUACUCUCAAAGGAGAGCUGGAGAAUUAAAUAAAUAUGACGGUGCUUGCCCCAUAAUCUAACCAUCCAUUCAUUGUUCAAGUGCUGAGUUAAGUAUCUGUCAUUAUAAAGGAUGGAGGAGAGAGACAGAGACUGGCCACAGGACCUGGACGGGAGCUGGGAACUGUGUCAGACUCCUCGGCCUCUCCCCAGAGUACUGUGCUCACUGCUAGGCUGGCAAAGCCUACCUUCAAAGGACUGUAGUAGACACCGGCAAGAGCAUGGACGGAGGACAAAGGCAGGGGCCUGGAAAAACCCACGAGCAAGAACUGGAGUCCUGUGAGCUGGAAGGAACGGGAUAAAAUGUUUGCAUCAGCCCCGUGGGAAGGAAUAGCGAACAGACUUAAGGCCAGACUCUGGGGUCCAGUGACUUUCCAGCUCGCUCGCUCUCGAGCAGCAGCUCACUAUUGAUGCAGCUACACAAAGGUCUCCAUUGGAAACCAGCCAGCCAGCUUCUCACUGCCAGGUCACAGUGGGAAAUGCCCUAGAACACAAAGGUAUCUGUGAGGCUGUAACAGGGACAGGGGUGUGUUACUGUUUCAGAAUGAAUGUGCCGACUCUAGACACACUUGCCCUCAGGUAGAUUUUCUUGGGACACUGAACAUCUAUGGUUCUAAGUGGCAAAUAGGGAGGCAGGGUGGUGCGUGGUACGGGAUGCAGUGUGGGAUUUUAUGCCCUGUGGAAUAAAACUCUAUGACAAGUGUCUGAUAUCAG
rnacentral:lncRNA from 1 species